AAUUUCAAGUCAUGUGAUAAUAUCAAUAUUAAUAAUAGCGCCAGUAGUAUUGAUCAAACUACACCGACAACAGAUAUGCUUGUUGUUUGUGGAAAUGGAAUGAUAAAUAAUAAUAAUGAAUUGGAUUAUGACAAUAUACAAAAUUGUAGAAAGAAAAAGGAGACAGGUUAUUAUAAUCAUGAUCUUAUGUAUAAUUAUAUUAAUAUUGAUGAUGAAUUUCUUGCGGAAAUGAUAAAUACUAACAGUAUAUUAAAUAUAAAUUAUAUGAGUGACGAUAAUAUCGAUCGUAACACAUGUAUAAACAACAAUGUAGAACCCAAUUCAUACCUAAAUAACAGUGUAGAACCGAACACAUGUAUAAGCAACAAUGUAGAACCUAACACACGCAUAAGUGGCAUUAUCGGACGUAAAAUCAAUAUGAACAAUAUAAACCGUAUGAAUAGUAUGAACAGCAUAAGCAGUAUGAACGAUAUAAACAGAAUGAAUAGUAUAAACAGUAUGAACAGUAUGGAUAAUAUAAACAAUAUGGACAGAAUGAAUAGUAUGGACAGAAUGGACAGUAUGGACAGAAUGGACAGUAUGGACAGAAUGAACAGUCCGGAAAGAAUGAACAGUAUGGACAGAAUGAACAGUAUGGACAGAAUGAACAGUAUGGACAGAAUGAACAGUCUGGAAAGAAUGAACAGUAUGGACAGAAUGAAUAGUAUGGACAGAAUGAAUAUUAUGGACAGAAUGAAUAGUAUGGACAGAAUGAAUAGUAUGGACAGAAUGAACAGUAUGGAUAGAAUGAACAUUAUGGAUAGAAUGAACAUUAUGGGUAGAUUGAACAGCAUGGACAGAAUGAACAGUUUUAACAGUCUGAACAGCCUGGACAGUGUUAACAGUAUGAACAAUAUAAACAGAAUAAACGGCAUGAACAGAAUGAACAGCAUGAACAGUAUGAACGGUAUGGAUAGAAUGAACAGUAUAAACAGCAUGAACAGUAUAAACAUUAUGAACAGCCUGAAUAACAUAAGCAACAUUAACAGAACUAACAGUAACAACAGCAACAGCAACAACAGCAACAGCAACAACAGCAACAGCAACAACAGCAACCACAACAACAACAAUAAUAGCAAUAACAAUAACAACAAAAACAACAGUAACAACAAUAACAACAGUAACAACAAUAACAACAAUAACAACAGUAACAACAAUAACAAUAACAGUAACAACAACAACUUGUACUCUUCCGAAAAUGUAGAAGAAAUUAAUAACUUGCAUAACGAAAACUAUGGAUAUUACUUAAAUAGCAACACUAAUGAUACUAAUAUAUGUAUUAACUACAUGGAUAAUAUUUAUAACUAUCAAAAUAACAACCACUCAAUUGAAAGUGACCAUUGUACAAGUACUGAAAGUACUCCAAACAAAACAGAUCAUAGUUCCUCAAGCGAAGAAAAUAAUUAUUUAAGCGAUUCGACAAAUUAUAUGAGUACAAUAAAUAUGUAUACUCAUAAAGUAUCAUCAUAUAAGAACAACUUGUGCAAAGAAAACAAUUGUCCAGACAACAAUAGUGAUGAUAGUUAUCACAAGAAUUACAAACCAUAUAUCGAAUCCGAGUGUAAUAAUAAUGUC
ensembl:lncRNA